AAAUUACAGCUAAUACAUGCAAUCAGACCUGGUCCAAGGGUCGUAAUUAUUAGUACUAAACCAUUUCCGUCAGGAAUGUGAUGAUUCAUAGUAAUCGAACGAAUCGCAGGUAUAUGCGAUAAGUCAUUCAAGUUUCUGCCCUAUCAGCUUUGGAUGGUAGUGUAUUGGACUACCAUGGCAGUCACGGGUAACGGAGAAUUAGGGUUCGAUUCCGGAGAGGGAGCCUGAGAAACGGCUACCACAUCUACGGAAGGCAGCAGGCGCGCAAAUUGCCCAAUCCUGACACGGGGAGGCAGUGACAAGAAAUAACAACUCUAGGAUUUCUUAGAAGUGUAAUGAGGAUAAUUUACAAACCUUACCGAAUGCAAUUGGAGGGCAAGUCUGGUGCCAGCAGCCGCGGUAAUUCCAGCUCCAAUAGCGUAUAUUAAAGUUGUUGCAGUUAAAAAGCUCGUAGUUGAAGUUCUGAUUGCUCAGGUUUCCAGCCUUAGGCGGAGAUACUG
rnacentral:rRNA from 1 species